rnacentral:rRNA from 1 species
UACGUAGGGGGCAAGCGUUGUCCGGAAUCAUUGGGCGUAAAGAGCGUGUAGGCGGCCCGGUAAGUCCGCUGUGAAAGUCCAGGGCUCAACCCUGGGAUGCCGGUGGAUACUGUCGGGCUCGAGUCCGGAAGAGGAGUGUGGAAUUCCUGGUGUAGCGGUGAAAUGCGCAGAUAUCAGGAGGAACACCAAUGGCGAAGGCAGCACUCUGGGACGUGACUGACGCUGAGACGCGAAAGCGUGGGGGGCAAACAGG